CAGGGCCUGACACCCCGGUGAGGGGCUAGUCCUGGGGGUGGUUAACCGGGGCCUGUCCCAGAAGAAACAGCCUUGUGGAUGAGUCUCUCAGCAGCUGUCACAGCUUAUUCUACUUCCUGUUACUCGGUGGGUGUGCCGGGCGGGGGGGGGGGGCAAUGGACAGAUGCCCAUUUCUCUUGAAUCCUUCCCAGGCAAACAGGCCCGCUGUCAGCAGGAUGCUGUCUGCAAAGCAGCUGCCGAUUUGCCAGUCACGGCCUUGCUGCUCGUAUUGGGCAGGGCCCGGACCUCCCGAACAUUGGCACGUAGCCAGUGCUCCCAAGUACUGCUUUGCCUGGGCGGUCAGUAAGUCCACACCAGCUUUCCCCGUGGUCGGGCGGGCAGCUCACGCGGUGCCAGAGCCGCCUCCUGCUGGCGGUUAUCACACAACCGGCAGGCGUCAGGCCCUCUGCCGAGGAGCAGAGCUGGGGUUUCAUUCCUGGCCAGGAUGCCCACCCUCGAGCUGGUCUCAGACAGCGGGCACUGCCCAGGUGUGGGGCAGGUUUAUUUUACAUAACCAGGUGGGGAAAACAGACUUGUGUCCGUGAAAUACGACUCCAUCCUGCCCACUCGGCUCCUCUUCAUUUGGAAAUACAGUUCUGCUCCUCCUGGUUCUUGGCGUUGGGCUUCUGACCCCCCUGUGCCCCCGCCCCCGUUAGGGUCAUGCUCUGGCUCUGCAGCCUCUUUGACAUCCAUCGGCUUCGCUCCUGAAACAGGGAGACACUGCAGCAUGUUGGUGGAUUCAGGGUCCCUAUCCCCUUCCCCCAGCUGCCAACGCAGGGUAGACGGGCCCUGUUCGGGGGCCAGCUAACACCAGGAAUCGUCCUGGACAAUAUCUGAUCUCUGCCUGGUAGUGCUGGAGAAGCAUCAGCGUGUGCUGCAGCCUCUUUGGAGCACAAAGAAGGAGCUUAGGGGACAAAGGAGCCUGGAUCCACGUGGUCGGCGGGUUGGAGGUGCUGGGAGCUUGAUGCACGUGAGAAAACGGCUUAGGCAAAGAUUGUAACGUGCAAUAAGGAACGUGCAGUCCCCAGGAAGCAUUAUUUUGGUUUGAUUUGUAACCUGCCCUGUCUUGGGCUCUCUCGCUCAUUGUUGCAACUCAGGUCCUAUAGUUGCACCAAAUCUUGUACAAAGGAGGUCAAGUGAGUUGUCCUGGAAAAGGCUAUGAUUUGCUGGGUAUUAUUAUGCUGUGUGUAUGUGUGUAUCAUUUUUGUAGCUGAAGUUAUAAAUAUUGUCUAUGUACUUGUAUCUCAAUGUGUUUGAUUCCAAGUAGCAUCAGUGAAGCAUUUGGCCAGUUUAUUGUGAAGAGGCUCUUCAGAUUAAGUGCCCAAUCAAGAAACACUUAACUAACAAUGGACCUUGGGAGAAUCCAAUCCACAUCCGACGAACCUUCCUGGGAGCAUUCAAGGAAGAACAAGGGGGUUUCCUUCUACAUGGCAGGGGAUAUACAAGGCCCUGGAAACCCCUCCAUUUUGUCUUCAAUCCUACUUCUAACCUCUGGAGGAACUUUGCUAGAAACUGAAGCCCUGAACAAAGGACUGAAUGACCCGUCCAAAUCUGUGGAUGCUCCAGAGACUUGAUUUAAAUCUGAAGUUUAUUCCACCACUGCUACAAGCCUGAACCAAGGACUUUGCCGUCACUGUAUGGAAUUGAUUCCAUUUAACCAGUUCUAGCUCUCAUCUCUACCUCUUUCCCUUUAUGAAUAAACCUUUAGAUUUUAGAUUCUAAA